rnacentral:rRNA from 1 species
UGGGGAAUAUUGGACAAUGGGCGAAAGCCUGAUCCAGCCAUGCCGCGUGUGUGAAGAAGGUCUUCGGAUUGUAAAGCACUUUUAAGUUGGGAGGAAGGGCAGUUACCUAAUACGUGAUUGUUUUGACGUUACCGACAGAAUAAGCACCGGCUAACUCUGUGCCAGCAGCCGCGGUAAUACAGAGGGUGCAAGCGUUAAUCGGAAUUACUGGGCGUAAAGCGCGCGUAGGUGGUUAGUUAAGUUGGAUGUGAAAUCCCCGGGCUCAACCUGGGAACUGCAUUCAAAGCUGACUGACUAGAGUAUGGUAGAGGGUGGUGGAAUUUCCUGUGUAGCGGUGAAAUGCGUAGAUAUAGGAAGGAACACCAGUGGCGAAGGCGACCACCUGGACUGAUACUGACACUGAGGUGCGAAAGCGUGGGGAGCAAACAGGAUUAGAUACCCAAGUAGUCCCUGAGCGGGCUGGCAAGGCGCAU